AUGUACCACGCUUAACAUUCCGGUUCCGAGUGCGCCGGCCGCGCCCACCUGACAGCUGCUCGCGACGUGUUGUUAGCC
rfam:Xanthomonas oryzae pv. oryzae KACC10331, complete genome.